ACACACAGGUGCUGCACGGCUGUCGUCAGCUCGUGUCGUGAGAUGUUGGGUUAAGUCCCGCAACGAGCGCAACCCUCGUCGUUAGUUGCUAACAGUUCGGCUGAGCACUCUAACGAGACUGCCUUCGCGAGGAGGAGGAAGGUGAGGACGACGUCAAGUCAUCAUGGCCCUUACGGCCAGGGCUACACACGUGCUACAAUGGGGCGUACAAAGAGCUGCAAUACCGCGAGGUGGAGCCAAUCUCUUAAAGCGUCUCUCAGUUCGGAUUGUUCUCUGCAACUCGAGAGCAUGAAGCUGGAAUCACUAGUAAUCGUAGAUCAGCUAUGCUACGGUGAAUACGUUCCCGGGUCUU
rnacentral:rRNA from 1 species